CCUACGGGCGGCAGCAGUGAGGAAUAUUGGUCAAUGGACGAGAGUCUGAACCAGCCAAGUAGCGUGAAGGAUGACUGCCCUAUGGGUUGUAAACUUCUUUUAUAUGGGAAUAAAAUGUUCCACGUGUGGGAUUUUGUAUGUACCAUAUGAAUAAGGAUCGGCUAACUCCGUGCCAGCAGCCGCGGUAAUACGGAGGAUCCGAGCGUUAUCCGGAUUGAUUGGGUUUAAAGGGAGCGUAGGUGGAUUGUUAAGUCAGUUGUGAAAGUUUGCGGCUCAACCGUAAAAUUGCAGUUGAAACUGGCAGUCUUGAGUACAGUAGAGGUGGGCGGAAUUCGUGGUGUAGCGGUGAAAUGCUUAGAUAUCACGAAGAACUCCGAUUGCGAAGGCAGCUCACUGGACUGCAACUGACACUGAGGCUCGAAAGUGUGGGUAUCAAACAGGAUUAGAUACCCGGGUAGUC
rnacentral:rRNA from 1 species